CCUGGGGCCUUGUAAGAGAUGCAAAUGAUGGUCUCACCCCAGACCUGCUGAAUCCGAAACUCGGAGGUGGGGCCUAGCGAUUCGUGUUUUAAGCUCUCCAGGCGAUUCUGAUGCUCACUAAUGUUGAACCUUCUCGUAAGUCUGCAGUUUACUUUUCACUUCCCUACCUGACAGCGCAUCCUGCAUUCUUUCCUGCACGGAGCAUCUGCACUGAACUGAGGGAUGAGGGUGAGAGAGCUCCAGAGCACCACCCCACUGUGCCUCAUUCAGGAAGUGCUGUGAUCAAGAAACCACUACUGCUGCUGGUGCCAGGACUGUGAUUCCCAUCAACAGCACUGAUGGCCUGCACCUCACCUCUGACACCCAUGGGACUCUUGUAUGUGGACACCAGAAAGUCUGCUAAUUCUGGAACAAAAACCUGAAAUGUCUCCAUGAGAUGGACUGCUGAAAGAAAUAGAAAACCACAGAGGUGAGGCCUCCACCGUACUUCCAAAUGCUGUAUUGCACAUGGAAUGCAUUUGAUUUGUCAGAUCAAUCACUUUCAGAAUCCAAGCUGCAAAGGAGUUUUGGAAACACAGACCAGAGUUUUCCAGCCUCUGUCAGACGAGAAGGCUAAAAAAGAUUGGAAUGGAUGAUGGGCAUUCAUAUUCACAUAAAUUCGACUUCUAUAUAUGUGAUGAUGUCUUCUUUCUUUUUUAAGAUUUAUUUUAUUUUCUUGUAGAGACAAGAUCUUGCUUUGUUGUCCAGGCUGUACCACAGUGGGGGGAUCAUGGCUCACUGUAGCCCCAAACACCUGGACCCAGGCAGUUUUCUCCUCUCAGCCUCCUGAGUAGCUAGAAUUACAGGCACAUACCACCAUGUCCAGCCAAUUUUUUUUUUUGGUGGAGAUGGGGUCUUGCUAUGUUGCCCAGGCUGGUCUUGAACUCCUGGGUUCAAGCAAUCCUCCUGCCUCAGCCUCCCAAAGCACUAGGACUACAGGCAUGAACCACCAUGCCCAACCUCUUUUUUCUUGAUUCUGACAAGUCAGUACAUCACUCUGUUACCAUCAAUCUCCCUCAACUUGAUCAAACCAUGAAAGCACCAAUUUUAUAUUCUCCGAAGUAUACCUAAAUUGUGCCAUCUUAGAUUUGAAAUAGUCAUUUUUAUUAUUAGAUUGGUGCCUUAACACAUGUUUUUCUUUUGAGCCAGGAAACUCUUCAAAUAAAAUCCCCCUUGGAAAUAUUACAUACAAGUAAAGAAAUACACAAAUCACUGCUCUUGUUGGAGUGGGGGUCAGGUCUUGUGGCAGAAAUCAUUUGUACUUGCUGCGGAUCCCAGGUGCUUCCUGAGGUUUCCUGGGAUCCUUGGAAGUUAGACAGGGGCCAUGUGAUUGCAUUCUGGCCAGUGGAGACUGCCACCUCCAAGCUGGCCCUAAAAUCCUCCAUGGACCCUCCAUUUCUGCUUUCUUAUUGCAGCAACAGCAGUCUUUAAUAUAUAGUGGCGUCAUACAAUGGUGGCAGAUGGGUUUACCAGAUGAAAGAGAAGGCUUUUUGGUCUGCACUGGUGUUUGUGGAGCAAGAAAUAGCAUUUGUGGUGUGAAGCCACUGAGAUCAUAUGUGAUCCCCACAUAGCCUAUUUCUCUUGCUAAUAUGAGCCUAGAGGUCCUGCCCAGUCACCAUCUCCCAUAUCACAAACUCCAGCCUCUCUCUGCUUUGAUUUUUUUCCCCUACUUUCUACACACCUCCUAAGGCAACUCCGGACAACUAUUUCUAGGGAAGAGUUUGUAAACCGUUGUGUUAGCCUUCUAAAAUACCCUCUCUUCUGGUUUUG
rnacentral:lncRNA from 1 species